UUAAGUUCAGCGGGUAUCCCUACCUGAUCCGAGGUCAAAAUAUAAAAGUAAAGCUUAUGGGGGGCUACCUUCUACUGCUAGAGACGCAAUUCUGCUGCGCUCAAAGCCGCUGAAGUGGCUGCCAAUUAUUUUAAGGCGAGUCCAUGCCGACGGCAGGACAGACACCCAACACCAAGCUGUGCUUGAAGGUGAAAAUGACG
rnacentral:misc_RNA from 1 species